rnacentral:rRNA from 1 species
UACGUAGGUCCCGAGCGUUGUCCGGAUUUAUUGGGCGUAAAGCGAGCGCAGGUGGUUUAUUAAGUCUGGUGUAAAAGGCAGUGGCUCAACCAUUGUAUGCAUUAGAAACUGGUAGACUUGAGUGCAGGAGAGGAGAGUGGAAUUCCAUGUGUAGCGGUGAAAUACGUAGAUAUAUGGAGGAACACCGGUGGCGAAAGCGGCUCUCUGGCCUGUAACUGACACUGAGGCUCGAAAGCGUGGGGAGCAAACAGG